AUUUCUGGCUCCAGUACAUUUAACUGAGAAAAUCUUUCACGUUUUACGAAAGAUUUUCGUUCAUUGGAGCAAUUAUGGGUAUUUGACAGUUUUUGUAAUCUCUUCGAAAGAUAU
rnacentral:snRNA from 1 species